CCGGAUUGUCCCGCCCGCCAGGCCCGUGCCGCCUCCGGGUACCCCCUUUGCGUCCCCCCCUCCCCCGCCCAGGCCGCCUCCAGAUACCUCCUGUCUCCUCCCACAUGACCCCCCCCCGUCUUUUCCUGCCACCCUGUCAGUAACAGCCCAUCCCCCCCCGUCCUCAUACCCCGUCACCCCCCUCACCUACCCUCCUCAGCCCCCCUUCCCCUCGUUACCGUGUAUCCCCCCACCACGGCUCCUCUGCCUUUAUACCCUCCCCUCCCCCCACCUCAGUGUCCCCGGGCCCCCUCCCAUCUCCGAAACAGGACUGAAUCCUAGACUGCUCUUCAUCUGUUUCCCAGAUGUAGUCCUGCGUUUCUCUGCCGUUGCUCAGUGGUGCUGUUCCGUGGUGGUUAUUUUGCAGGCUUGCAGGGUUGUGGUGUGUUGGUUGUGUGUUGGUUUUUUUUUUUUUUUUUUUUUUUUUGCUUUGGUGCAGCAGCGUUUGCUUUUCAUGUGCAGACCCGGAAGGCUACAAUGUACGUCGCCCGUGGCAGACUUUAUUGCUCAGAGUUUGGAAAUCUUACAGUAACUGUGAUCUAUAUGUAUAUUUUUGGAUGGUGUAAGAAGGUUUGCAGUAUAUCACGGUGUGCAUGAAGGGGUUGUCUUUUUAAAAUCAUAGCGAUUUAAAUUUCCCUUUUACUGCCGUAAAAUUAAUCCAGACAUAUGGUAUCCUAUGCUGUAGUAUUUUACGUCGACACUAGGGGUAUGUCCUGCUUACCACUCGUGCCAAGAAAUCAACGCCCUUUUUAAUAAACAUUUAUUUUAUGCUAAAUUAUCCGAUACCUCUGGCUGCAGGGUGACUUCUGUCAAAGUUUCAGUUUUGGAAUUGGGAAAUGUAUACAAUUGGAGCUAUUCAUUCCCAGCUCUUCUUCCCUUAUGUGCAAAACCAGCUGUUUAUCACCAUUGCAUGUUAAGUCUAGCAGUGUGUGUGAACCAAAAAUGGAUUUCCCUUUGUUUUUAUUUUUAAAAAACGCAAUUGCCAAUUUUCCUUUAUACUGUACAGCAAAGCUAUGGUAGAAUAUUAUGCUGCAUGUUUCGACUGAUCUUGUAAUUGUGCCUUUGCCUUCUGUUAGAAAUAUUGUGUUAGGGAAACAUUUUGAAAUAUUCAGAGGCUUGCUUUGUUUUGAAUUGUGGUUCUGGAAAGCUACUGCCAAACAUUUGAAAUACAUAGGCAACACUAAGGCUAUCAAAUGGUUAUCCCUUCCCUGUUCUGAAAAAGUGGUUGUAAAAUCAGGACUUAAAAACAAAACAAACCUUUACUAUUUGAAGCCAUGUUACCACUGCAGUGCUUCCAGUUGUAUGUACAUCUAAUAACUGAACGAUAUGUAGCUUUCAUUACUUUAUAAUUACAUUAAUGCAGUCAUUAGCCAAGGUUAUAUGAGAAGAAUUUCUUGAAGGGUUCUCUGAUGCUUAUUAAUGUGCACAAAUUGCAAGAAAGAGUUCAUCAACCGUCCGAUGUAUUUUUGUGUGUCUGUGAAAGGUCUUUAUACUCACCCUAAUUUCUCACUGCCUUCUGAGAAACUUUUGCUAGCAUAGUCAUAUUGGGUGAAGGUGUCUUUUUUACAACAUUUCUAUACCAGCAAAAACCUUAGUGUAUACACAGCUCUACUGUUAAAAAUACUUUUGCUGGUAUAGUUUAUUUUGCUGGGGGAACUAAUAUAAUACACUGUACUGGGCAAAAGCAUUUUUAUUUAUUUAUUGAUUGCCAGAAUAAGCUGCGUCUACACUAGCAGUCCCUGCAAACCUUUUCUGGUGUAGACCUGACUUUUAAGUCUGAAAUUAGGAUAAAAUUUAAGAAUAGAUUAAUUUGAGAAAUUAAGAUCAGCAUAAUUUAAGCUGCCUUUCAUUUUUAGGAAAAAUUGAAUAUACUUUGUUAUAAUUUGGAUGCUUUCACUGCAAGAGACCAGUCUCAAUGUAUAUAAACUAAGAUCUUAUCUUAUUUUUCAUUUCUAACUUUUACUUUUUUGUUUUGUAAUAGAAUGAUGGUUUUCGGAGUUUGAAGUAACAUUUCUCUUGUGUUCCUGCAGGACCAAAGUACUGGCAGUUAUAGUAAACGAGCUGAGAGAUUAUGCCUACCUUUACUCUGGAGGUGGUGUGUCUACCAUAGACCAUCACUUGAAUAUGCUGGUUAGCAAUAGAAGAGAAUCAAUCGGGAGGGGGGUCCUAGAGUACAUACUGUGAAAAAUGGUAAGUUUAAGGUUAUUUUGCUUAAUAACUUAGACUUUUGUGUAAGGCAUUUGCACUUUUUAUCAAAGGAUUCUUACUUUGAAGAUUACAUUUAAAGGGCAUAUUUUCUGAGUUUUGUGACUUGAAAUUAAAUUUUGCAAAGAAAAGAAAAUGAGGAUUAUGCUCUUUACAUCAUGAUGUCCAAAGAAGGUAUGAAGACUUGAUAUUAAAAGAAAAAAAAGUCAUUUUUUUUAUAUUAAAAAUAUGGGUCCUAUCUAGGCUGGAACAUUUUAAUGACUGUAGAGCUAACAAAAUGGUAUCAUCACAAAACCGAGGAGAGUAAAAGCUGAGCAAUUGCGGGAGAGGGAUUUUAAGUCAGUGUUUGAAACUGUUAACUUUUAACACUUAGUUAACUUCGAUGGCUGAUAAACAUUUUUAAGUCUGUGAUUUAAAACUCUCCUUCAGUUAAGGUGUUAGCAGGCACAGUAAACAUCAGACUUCCCAUAAGUUCUGCGGCAAAAUCAGGGAAAGACAGACUUGUCACUCCAGAUAUUUCUAAGGCUCAACGGGGAGCUAUUCAAAUCAUGGAAGCUUUAAAGGAGUAUUUUGACCAUGAACCACAGUAAUGCAUGUUUCUGUAAUGCAUUGAGCCAAGCAUUGUUUUCUUGCAUUGUGGUAUGAACCUUCUCAUGAUCGCUGUGUGUGCAGUAAUGUAACAGUGCAAAUGCACCUAUUGGCAUUGUCGACUUAAGUUGCAUCAAUGUUCAUCCACCACUGUAAUUAAACUGCAGUUGCAUGUCCACACAAUGCUCGUUGUGAUGGUGGAGUGUGUCCACAGUAGUUGCUCUUGCAUUGACAGAGAGCAGUAUGCCGUGGGUAGCUAUCCCACUGUGCAACUUGCAACCAUCUGCUACUGGAUGUUCUGGGAAAGGGUUUGCAGUGUCUCACGGGGGCAGGCUGAGCGUCCCAUGAUGCAGUUUUCUCCCUCCCCUCAAUCCAUGGGUUUCCUAGUACAUUUCACGCCACUUGUCAACAGAUCCUGUAAACACACGCCUGCCAUCUGUCAGAAAGCAUGGAGCCUGCAGUGCUGUCCAGUAUUUUGGUGAGCAUUAUGAACGCAAUGCGGCAGUGACUCUGAUGAUGACACCAUGGUAUCUGCCCUGUUGUGUGUGCCAUGGACAGAAACAAUUCAAGAUUGCUGUUGGCAUUCAUGGAGGAGCUGCACAUAGUGCACUGUUGGUUCUGGGCCCAAGAAACAAGCAUUGAGUGAUAAGAUCGCAUUGUUAUGCAGGUAUGGGAUGACGAGCAGUGGCUGCAGAACUUUUGGAUGCGUAAAGCCACCUUCCUGGAAGUGUGUGCAGAGCUCACCCCUGCUCCCUAUCACAAGGACACCAAAAUGAGAGCUGCCCUAACGGUGGAGAAGCGACUGGCAAUUGCAGUGCGGAAGCUGGCAAUGCCAGGCUGCUACUGACAAGUUACGAAUCAGUUUAGAGUGGGGAAGUCCACCAUGGGAGUUGCAGUGAUGCAAAUUUGCACGGCCAUUAAUCGCCUCCUGCUAUGAAGGACUGACACUCUGGGCAGUGUGUGUGAAAUAUUGAAUGGGUUUGAGGCAACGAGUUUCACUAACUGCAGAGGGGCAAUAGAUAGUCUGGGGCCAAAAUGGUGAUAUGUGUGCUAUCUUUUGAUGGAGUACAUCAACAGAAAGGGCUACUUUUCUAUGGUAUUGCAAGUGCUGGUAUAUCAUCGGGGUUGUUUCAUUGAUAUCAACACGUGCUGGUCAGGGAAGGUGCAUAACACAUGCAUCUUCGGGAACAUUGGACUGUACAGAAAGUUGCACGCAGGGACUUUCUUUCCAGACCAGAAGAUUUCCAUUGUAGAUGUUGAAAUGCCAGUAGUGAUUCUGGGAGAUUCAGCCUACGCCUUGCUCCCAUGGCUCAGGAAGUCUUACAUCAGCAACUUUGGCUGCAGCAAUGAGUGCUUCAACAACAGGCUCAGCAGGUACAGAAUGACUGUUGAAUGUGUCUUUGGCUGCUUAAAAGGUUGCUGGUGCUGCCUCUUUGGCAGGUUAGACCUCAGUAAGGAAAAUAUUCCCAUGGUCAUAGCAACCUACAUUAUGAAGCUAAGGAGGGGAAGCUUCUGUAGGGGUGGAGUGUUGAGGUGGAUCAGCUGGCUGCUGCUUUUGAGCAUCCGAUACCAGGGCUAUUAUAGGGGCUCAAUGUGGAGCUGGUUGAAUCAGGAAGGCUUUGAAGGAGUAUUUUGAUAAUGAGCCACAGUUAUGUAUGUUUCUGUAAUGCAUUGAGCCAGGCAUUGUAUUCUUGCACUGUAGUAUGAACCUUGUAAUGAUUACUAUGCAUAUAAGAAUGCAACAAAGCAAAUGCACCUUUUGGCAUUGUCUUAGAAUUUUAGCAGCAACCACCAUAUGUAAAAGACAAAUAAAGAUUCAUUUACUUUCUAUAAGUAAGUUUUUAUUCAACAGUCAUGCAAACAUUCCUGUCUUCUGGAAGGAACAUGAAAAUUGAUCACAUUUGCCAAUGAGGCACUCACAGCUGGGUGUAUGUCCAGCUGUCAUUGUGAAACAUCCCUGGGGGGUGGAGUGCCUGGAGUACUGGAACGACCCUGGAAUAUGCGAGGGAUGUGUGGGGAGAGCUUGGGAAAGUUCUGCAUGGACUGCAGGGGAAGGUGAGUAUGGAUGUGUUCCUCCUGAAGUUCAGUCAGGGACAUCAAUAUGUCAGCUCCCUGAGCCACUUUAUCGUCUGCUCCUGCCUGUGUUUCCUAUCCUCACUAUCCAUCCGCAGUUUGCCUUUGAUAGCCUCUCUCCAUACUCUCUACUUGCAAUAUGAAGCACCAGAGGAUUGCAGCACUUCCUGGAACAUGUCUUUCUUACUACUCUUGUUUCGUCUCCUUAUGAGCCUGAGUCACUCAGCUGGUGUGCAGGAGGAGAUCCUCAAGGGCAUGUCGGCAGAUGGUAAAGAAACAAUAGACAGAGGCAUUAUUGUGAGUCCAGUCACACUCUUGAUCCAAACAAGUUAGCAAUACAGCUUUCUCACUUUCCCUUGGCAGGCAUACAUCACGGUGGGAGCCCCAGCCCUGGUGAGUUUGGCCUGGACGGUAGGGGGUUUCAGUGGGGUAUCGCUACAAGCACAUAGGGCUACUAUUCUGAAUACUGGCACUGUUUUCCACAGGCAGGGGUGAUAGCUGAUAUCUUGCUCCUGAGCGUAACCGAGGAUGCAAGGGUGCAGCUUCUGCAUGUGUGUGGCAGUAGACUGGGUCUGUAUGAUGCUCACCAUGUGCUAUGGUGCCUGCAGAAGUAGUUGCCGAUUGGUGCGGCAAAGUUUCCUACAGCGAUGGAAAAAACAAAGCAAUCCUCCCAAGAAACCUUUGGCAGAGGAUUGCAGAUUACUUCCAGGAAAGUUUCUUACAGAUCUGUGUGAAGGAUUCCCAGAACAUGCCGGUGUGCAUAAAGAAAUGUUUCCGCAGGGCCUCCUCUGCCUAGCUGCACAGGGGAAUGAGAAGCAGAUACAAUCUUUACCUAUGCUGGUUAUUUCAUUCCCUCUUCUACCCUGAUUCAAAAACAGAGCAUUACCACAUGUGUCCCUGCAGUAUGGAAGUACAAUGAAAACUUACCAGAGCUUCCCUCUCCUGCAUCAGGUGUGCCCAAGUCGGAGUGCUGGGACUAGCUAUAUCCUUCCAGAGUCAAAAAGGGUUCCUGGGUUGUCACACAACUGGAUAUCCCUGUUACCUGUCCCCCAUCCUCCUCCAAUUCCACAUCCUCAUCCACCACGUCGUUCUUGGGUUCACUUGGCUGGCCACUGUCUCCGGACCCCCCUGAACUAUCCACAGGACUUGUGGAGGUGGGGUCACUGCCAAGGAUGGUGUGAAGCUUCAUAUAGAAGUAGCAUAUCUUUGGUGCCACGCAAGAGCGACUGUUGGCCUGCCUUGUCUUUUGGUAUGCCUGUCUCAGCUCCUUGAUUUUUUUUGCACAGUACUGCUGCAUGUCCCUAUCCGUAUCCCUUCUCCUCCAUGCCAUAAGUAGUUGGCCUGUAGAUAUCAAAGUUCCGGCAGUUGGAGCGGAGCUGUGACUGCACAGCCUCCUCUCCUCCACAGACCCAACAGAUCCACCACCUCCGGUGUACUCCAGGCAUUUGCUGCGGGGAGCCAGCAUGGUCAGUUGAGCAGAUAUGUGAGCUCUCCAUGCUGAGCAAACAGGGAGAGCGAUUUCAAAAAUUCCUACAGCUUUAAAAAAGCAGGAGUGCAUACCUGUGUACAAGGCUCCAAGGCAGGAGAGUUCAAACCAAUGACCAGAGCAGUCAUGAUAGGCAUUUUGGGACACCACCUGGAGGCCACUUAAGGCAGCAUAAACAAUGCAGUGUCUACGCUGACACUGCGUCCCUCUUACUAUGGUGCCCUAAGACGCUAUGCAUCUCGAUGAGGUGGUUUUAUUAUGUUGGUGUAACAGGAGAGUUAAAUUGGUGGGAGGAGCAUUGCAGUGCAUACACUUGCAUAGUUAGGUCCAUGACCUAAGCUGCCUUAUGUUGACUUAACUUUGUAAUGUAGACAAGCUGUUGGAGUAAAAAAAAAAAAAAAAAGGGGGGGGUGUGCAGAAAAAUAGCUACUUGUAAUUCCUUCUCCUCACUCCUGCUUUUCUAGUCUUGAUAUAUCAUAAAGAAUCUUACAAAAAGGGUUUAGGGGAGACAUGUCCAGUUGUUUAAAAAUCCUUUGCAGGUCACCUUCAAUUUAUGUAGUGCAAAUUUUAAAAGGAACCAACUUGUAAAGAUGAAAGUUUUGUAGCUUCCAUCUAACUUCAGACUUAAUUGGAUGUUUGAGCAACACUUGUUUGGAAGGAUUGUAGAAAUGAGAGGGUUUUUUUGUUGUAUGCUUUUUAUUCAAAGGCUUAUUUAUAUUAUGGUGACUAGCGUCCAUGAAGCGCAGGAUUUUGUAACUCUGACGUGAUUCACUAUUAGUAAGUAAUUUUUUUCCUGUGGUUUCCUCCUAUGAUUUGUUGAGUGUUGCUAAAGAAAACAGUAAGAGAAUAGUGAGUUAAUGCAGAUAUUAAGUAUAGGUGAUAGGCAAGCUUUUGAUCCAUUAAUCAAAGUGCUUACAGGUUUCCUUUCCAGUGAAAUAAAGCAAAACUUUUACCCACAGUUAAAUUAUUAUUAUUUUUUUUUAAAGCACUGUCCACAAUUCUAAUUUCAGGUUGGGGAGUCUUGCAUUCUUGAUUCUCCUGACCCCUUUCUCUCCUUGACCCUACUUCUUGUGAUCCCAUUUUGUGAAUUUCUCGUGUAGGAGAGUUAGCAUAAUUGAUCUCUAUCAUCACGCUAUUCUUUGUUGUUUAGUAACCAGUUCACUUAGUGGUAUGCAUCCCCAUUUUUCCACUCUUUCUCUUGUUGGUUUAUUCGCAUUCCCGCCCCCCACGCCUAUUUGUUUCUGUGCAUUAGCUCUCCCCACAGAAAGACCCCAGAAGCAGAGGUGGUUGAUUGUGCUUUGCUUCCUACGCACUAAUCCUUCCUCAAAAGCAUCAGCAGGCACAGAGAAAGCAUUACUGUGCAUGAAGCAUAGCCAUGAUCAAACUCCUUUGCUUUUGGAGGAGUUCUGGGGGUGGAAGAAAAGAUUGAAAUUAAGGUUGAGGGAUACACUAAGGCAGAGAUCUAUAUGUUAACUAAAAGGAGAGAGGGAAAUAGAAGUGCUGCUGCUCAUUGAAUGUAUAGCUGAAAAAGUUCAAGCAAAAUUUCUUGAUGAAACAAAUGUACUGUAUUAAAUGUGGAUUCUUUUCCAUCCUUACACCUGUAUCAUCAAGAAGUAUUUUAGUAAAUAUCACAAAAAGAUUUGUAUGGAGUAUAGUUGUAGCUGUGUUGGUCCCAGGAGAUAUUACUUUACCUACCUUUUCUCUCAAAAAGGUUUGACAUUUAUAUCUCUGGAAUUUGAGAGAUCUGAUGUACUAGACUUAACAGCUCUAUUUCUUUUCCAACUACCAUACAAGCUAAUCUCACAACACUCCUCUCAGUUUUGUAAAAAUUUCCUCAUUUUAUAAAUGAGGAAACUGAGGCAGAGAGCUAAGUGACUUCUCCAACUACUUAGAAAUAACUGUUGAUAUGUUGAGAUGCAUUCCUAGCUCUGGGGGGAAAAUAGCAAUGCUAAACCAAAUGGCCCAGUAAAAAUUUGAGGUCUCAGAAUUUACAAAUCAUGAGGGCUAAAAAUACAACUUUUGUACCAUUGGAAACCUGUUGUUCUCUGCUUUCCAGUGGCACCAGACAUGUGACAGGGUGUCAAACUUUAAAAUAAUAUAUUUCAUACUUCAUUUUUUUUCAUUUUACACCCAACAUGGAUACCACAUAAAGUGGCCACUUUCUUGAAAGACAAGAUAUAGAAACUAGUGUUUUACAUUGUGUGAAAGCAAUUUUGUAUCCAAGUUGCCAGUAACCUAAAGAAAUAACUCUGGCAGUGCAAGAGGUCUGUUUUAAAAAAACAACAACAAAAAACAAAAACACAUGUGAGGAAGAAGCAGAGCUAGAUGAAAGCCAAAAUAUGUAAAUUUAAGGUCUGAUGUCUUGUGACCGCCCAUAGCUAGGUAUACUUCAGUUGGACCAGUGACCUUUACUGUUGUGGACCUGGAACGAUGAUUAGAGAAUUUAAAUUCUUUCUGUCAUAGCAGGAUUAGAUUUCAUGAUGUCAUGUCUUCCAGUCUUGCACUUGGAUCACUUGGUCACACCAUAUAUCAUAGAGAAUUUAUGAAUUAUUUUGGUCACCAGAAGAAAUAGAUAUGCAUGAUAGCAAUAGAAAUACUGAAUAUCAAGGCAAAUUUAACUGACAAAAAUGUAUUUGAGCUAAAGUGCAAAUAUUGUACCUUUAUUCUUACCAAAGUCUGUUAACAUGCAUAAUUUCCUAAUGGGACUAAAUUUACUUUAUUCUGUGUGACGAAGUGGAAACAAACAUUUUUGUAGAUUACAGCCAAAAGUGUCUUCAUGAACAAAUCAAUAUUACAUUCUAGGCAUGGGCUGUCUGGGAGUUCUUGAUGAAGAUACAGGGCUAAAAUACGUUUAAUAGGAAUGGAAAAAGCCA